rnacentral:rRNA from 1 species
GAUGAACGCUGGCGGCGUGCCUAAUACAUGCAAGUCGAGCGAACAGACGAGGAGCUUGCUCCUCUGACGUUAGCGGCGGACGGGUGAGUAACACGUGGAUAACCUACCUAUAAGACUGGGAUAACUUCGGGAAACCGGAGCUAAUACCGGAUAAUAUAUUGAACCGCAUGGUUCAAUAGUGAAAGACGGUUUUGCUGUCACUUAUAGAUGGAUCCGCGCCGCAUUAGCUAGUUGGUAAGGUAACGGCUUACCAAGGCGACGAUGCGUAGCCGACCUGAGAGGGGGAGGGGGCAAACGGAGAGAGAGAGACGGGAGAGAAGAAAACGGGAGGGAGCAGUAGGGAAUGUGUCGUGAUGGGCGAAAGACUGAAAGAGAAAGGUAGCGGGAAAGAUGAAGGGAUUAAGAAAGUAAAACUCUGUGAUUAGGGAAGAAAAAAGGAGGAAGGAAAUGUGCACGUCUAGAAGGAACGGAAACAGACAGACAAGCAUAGUAUCAAU